UGCAAGUCGAACGAACUUUCCUGAUGAUUGAAGCUUGCUUCAUGAAUCAGAUCUAAGUGAGUGGCGGACGGGUGAGUAACACGUGGGUAACCUGCCCAAAAGUGGGGGAUAACAUUUGGAAACAAGUGCUAAUACCGCAUAACAACUACUUUCACAUGAUCGUAGUUUAAAAGAUGGCUCUGCUAUCGCUUUUGGAUGGACCCGCGGCGUAUUAGCUAGUUGGUGAGGUAAAGGCUCACCAAGGCAAUGAUACGUAGCCGACCUGAGAGGGUAAUCGGCCACAUUGGGACUGAGACACGGCCCAAACUCCUACGGGAGGCAGCAGUAGGGAAUCUUCCACAAUGGGCGAAAGCCUGAUGGAGCAAUGCCGCGUGAGUGAAGAAGGUUUUCGGAUCGUAAAACUCUGUUGUUGAAGAAGAACAUGCGUGAGAGUAACUGUUCACGUACUGACGGUAUUCAACCAGAAAGCCACGGCUAACUACGUGCCAGCAGCCGCGGUAAUACGUAGGUGGCAAGCGUUGUCCGGAUUUAUUGGGCGUAAAGAGAAUGUAGGCGGUUUAUUAAGUUUGAAGUGAAAGCCCUCGGCUCAACCGAGGAAGUGCUUCGAAAACUGGUAAACUUGAGUGCAGAAGAGGAAAGUGGAACUCCAUGUGUAGCGGUGGAAUGCGUAGAUAUAUGGAAGAACACCAGUGGCGAAGGCGGCUUUCUGGUCUGUAACUGACGCUGAGAUUCGAAAGCAUGGGUAGCAAACAGGAUUAGAUACCCUGGUAGUCCAUGCCGUAAACGAUGAGUGCUAAGUGUUGGAGGGUUUCCGCCCUUCAGUGCUGCAGCUAACGCAUUAAGCACUCCGCCUGGGGAGUACGAUCGCAAGAUUGAAACUCAAAGGAAUUGACGGGGGCCCGCACAAGCGGUGGAGCAUGUGGUUUAAUUCGAAGCAACGCGAAGAACCUUACCAGGUCUUGACAUACCAUGAAAAGCUAAGAGAUUAGUCUUUCCCUUCGGGGACAUGGAUACAGGUGGGUGCAUGGUUGUCGUCAGCUCGUGUCGUGAGAUGUUGGGUUAAGUCCCGCAACGAGCGCAACCCUUAUUAUCAGUUGCCAGCAUUCAGUUGGGCACUCUGGUGAGACUGCCGGUGACAAACC
rnacentral:rRNA from 1 species